AUCACUAUUUAUUUUCUUAAUUAAAAACUUUAAAAAUCACAAUGGCUGAGCCCUGAAACUUCUUUUUUUAAAUUUAUUUAUCAAAAAUCUUCAAGAGUUUAAGUUUGUUGGAUAGAUAUGUUUUUUUUAUUUCUUUGAAUCUUCAAAAAAACUAAUGGCAAAGCAUUUUCAGAUUUUCUAAAAAAAUAAAUAAAAAUUGAAUCACUUUGAUUGUUUUUCUGAUCAUUGUUUUUUGAAAUUUCCACGUGAAACUUUCUUAGGGUCAAAUUUUAUUAAGCAGGAACCUUGUAAAUAACAAUAUUUAUGAUGACUUUUUUUUAAAAAAAUAUAGUAGUGAUUGUUUUUUGGUUUCAAAAAUAUUAAAGUAAUAUUUUUUUAUUUUUUAAAAAUUAUUUUUGAUAUUAGUAUAUUAAAAUAAUAAUAAAAGCAUUAAUGUUUUUUUUUUAUUUUGAAUUUUUAUGACACACUAUUCGGCGCCACCUUAGAGAUAGAUACCAAACUUGUUGAUUCGGGAUCCCAUAUCGGUUUAAGUUUGUCAUUAAUCCGAACAGGCAAUUUAUCUAGCAGGCAUGUCAGACUGCAUGCAUGUACCUUCUUGAAAAAGCAUCACUUGCAUCAAUGCGGUCAUUUAUCAAUAACGGGACUCCAUGGGAACGACAGUCUGCAAGACAAGCUCUUUCCGUUUCCAAUAACUCCCGUGUUUAAGCAUCCUUGAAGGAAAAUCUUCGAGAUUAACAAAAUUACAUUGCUAUGCAAUUGCAAGUCAAUGCAGAGAUCAAGCUGUAAGCAAUACUCCACCCACAUUCAUGGCGACCUUUAUUCAUUUGCAAAGCGGUUUUACAGCCCCUAUUGAUCAACUGCAAAAGGGUGAAUUUACGUAGAGCAAAAACAUGCUUUAGACACUUGAACUAGAGACCCAUUAUGAAAUGCUCACGUUCAUGGAAGUUCAAGAAAUGAAAACAGAGAGAGCUCCGAGGGAAGUCGAGAAACUACAGAUGAGUAACAGUAAAUUGCGAGUCAAAACAUCGGAACUCUCUCUCAAGGGUGAAUGGUAAGAGAAUAGCGUCGUUCUUAACAUCCAAUGGAACACAACACAUGCAUCUGAACGCGCGUCACAAACAGGCUUAUUCGACUUAAUUUGUGUUUCCAUAGGCAAAUCUUGCAUUUAUUGACCAAGCUUGCUGAGUUUAAAUGAAUAAAUAAAUACAUAAAUUGAUGUUUUAAUUAACUCGUUAUGAACUCAAUCUUCUUGACAGCACAGACCAGUCAUGAUACUCCCGAGUCACCAAGAACUCGAAGUUGGUUGUUGUCUAGGAACCAAAGCCACAAGUGCAUUGGUACUAAGUAUUUGUAAGCAGUGUAUCCUCAGAGAUUGCAGAGUUCACAAGUUGAAAAGCUUGAUCGGCCUGACUCCCAGAUCACUACAACCAGGACUUUGCCCAGAAGCUGCUAAUCGUUUACAAGAAAUGGAGCACAAAUACGAAGACAGGAGGCAAGAAAGAUAGAGUUUUGACCGAACAGGUUGCACACAAAAACCUAAUUCCUAGUUUUAUUUCUGAAAUACAAAAUCUAAUAAGCAUUUCUGUCUCUCUUAGAGGUUUAUAAGCCUUUAAAUAGAUCUAAAACUGAUUUUAACAAGGAAGAAAAAUUAUAAUCCCUAAACUUAAAAAAAAAAAAAACUAACAUAAAAUAUAAAAAAAAUAAUAAAUUCAGAAAAA